AACGUUUAACUAAAGCUCCCAAAAAAACACCCUGUGUAAUCUCAAAAAUCAAAGUGGCAACAAAUCUCAUAAUCCAGCUCGAAUUUUCUGAAGAUCAAUAAUCUCAUUGCUAUAAUUAUAACAGUCGAGCACGUAACCAAGGUUUUUUUGCUCACGAACGACCUUGCAUCACAAAGCAAGGUCAGUCCUUAAUUACGUAAGCGAGAAACCCCAGGCCACGAACUUGCACCAUAAACAAGGUCACUCCUUAGUUCCUUAGGCCUCUGGUCUUCUCUCCCUCUAAUGUAUUUACCGAGGUAGGUAUUUACGUAACAACGUAACCGUCCUAUUAUUGUAACUGCUCAAGUACCUAUUUUGAUCAUGAUCAAAUGAUUAGUAUUAUCACUUGUUUUCCAUUGUUUGGGUAUAUCUAAUCUACAGUAACAGGUAACGUCUUAUCCAAAUAGGUAUAAAUAUCCAGAACUUCAUUUUCAUUUUUAUACUACGUAUAAGUGUAUACCUAUCUACUUAAAACCAUGCAUUUUAAAGUGUUCAUCCUGCUAGCUGCUGUGUUCGUAUACUAUGUUCAUUCUGCACCGGGGCGAUGCUGGAGCUGUAAUAGCCAAGAGAGAAGUUGUACACACUAUCAAGCAGGGAAUGGCAACUAUUCUGUCGCUUGUAUUAGGGAUGGUCAAGCAUGUAUUUCGUAUAUAGAUUUAAGCACUGGAAAUACCGUUAGGGAUUGUACAAAGGAGCAGUGUGCAGAUUCAUCUACCGUAUCUCGCUGUAACAGAUGUGAUACAAUGAAAUGUAACGGGGAUGCGUUACCUUAAAAUAUAUCUACCUAUUAGUUAGAUUUUCAAUUUUAAUGCUGAGACUACAAUAGAAAUUUGUUCUGAAAUUUGAAAUUUUAUUGUUAUAUACCUAUAACUGCUUGUAAUAUAUA